rnacentral:hammerhead_ribozyme from 1 species
GCACUGCUGACGAGUCCCAAACAAGACGAAACAGCUGUUCACUGC